GGUUUGAGAUAAGUUAUGAGCUCAUGAGUCAGGAAAACAAGCUAUUUUCAGUUUAUGCUCUCUGCCAGAUUCUGUUCUUGAUGCCCACUCACAUAAGCAUAAUUGUUCUGCAUUUGUAGCACUGGGACAAGAGCAAGUUUUGAGGACCUGAAUAUAAGCUGUGGAAGCUGCCUCAAUGUAAGGAAAAGGAAAGAAGAAAAUCCCAAUGGAGCAGUAUAGAGGGACACAACCCAGAUGUCUGCUAGAAAUCUUCUGCUGGAUGUUACAGAUGCAUUUAGGAAUCUCCGGCAUAGCAAGAUCUGAUAGAGCACAACUACAGUCUCCCUGCCUCUCCUAGAUGCCCAUGCAGAAAUCCCCCAUAAGCCUCCACAAAACAUCUGCUUGUGCCACUGUUC